GCUCAGGACGAACGCUGGCGGCGUGCCUAAUACAUGCAAGUCGAGCGGACAGAUGGGAGCUUGCUCCCUGAUGUUAGCGGCGGACGGGUGAGUAACACGUGGGUAACCUGCCUGUAAGACUGGGAUAACUCCGGGAAACCGGGGCUAAUACCGGAUGGUUGUUUGAACCGCAUGGUUCAGACAUAAAAGGUGGCUUCGGCUACCACUUACAGAUGGACCCGCGGCGCAUUAGCUAGUUGGUGAGGUAACGGCUCACCAAGGCGACGAUGCGUAGCCGACCUGAGAGGGUGAUCGGCCACACUGGGACUGAGACACGGCCCAGACUCCUACGGGAGGCAGCAGUAGGGAAUCUUCCGCAAUGGACGAAAGUCUGACGGAGCAACGCCGCGUGAGUGAUGAAGGUUUUCGGAUCGUAAAGCUCUGUUGUUAGGGAAGAACAAGUGCCGUUCAAAUAGGGCGGCACCUUGACGGUACCUAACCAGAAAGCCACGGCUAACUACGUGCCAGCAGCCGCGGUAAUACGUAGGUGGCAAGCGUUGUCCGGAAUUAUUGGGCGUAAAGGGCUCGCAGGCGGUUUCUUAAGUCUGAUGUGAAAGCCCCCGGCUCAACCGGGGAGGGUCAUUGGAAACUGGGGAACUUGAGUGCAGAAGAGGAGAGUGGAAUUCCACGUGUAGCGGUGAAAUGCGUAGAGAUGUGGAGGAACACCAGUGGCGAAGGCGACUCUCUGGUCUGUAACUGACGCUGAGGAGCGAAAGCGUGGGGAGCGAACAGGAUUAGAUACCCUGGUAGUCCACGCCGUAAACGAUGAGUGCUAAGUGUUAGGGGGUUUCCGCCCCUUAGUGCUGCAGCUAACGCAUUAAGCACUCCGCCUGGGGAGUACGGUCGCAAGACUGAAACUCAAAGGAAUUGACGGGGGCCCGCACAAGCGGUGGAGCAUGUGGUUUAAUUCGAAGCAACGCGAAGAACCUUACCAGGUCUUGACAUCCUCUGACAAUCCUAGAGAUAGGACGUCCCCUUCGGGGGCAGAGUGACAGGUGGUGCAUGGUUGUCGUCAGCUCGUGUCGUGAGAUGUUGGGUUAAGUCCCGCAACGAGCGCAACCCUUGAUCUUAGUUGCCAGCAUUCAGUUGGGCACUCUAAGGUGACUGCCGGUGACAAACCGGAGGAAGGUGGGGAUGACGUCAAAUCAUCAUGCCCCUUAUGACCUGGGCUACACACGUGCUACAAUGGACAGAACAAAGGGCAGCGAAACCGCGAGGUUAAGCCAAUCCCACAAAUCUGUUCUCAGUUCGGAUCGCAGUCUGCAACUCGACUGCGUGAAGCUGGAAUCGCUAGUAAUCGCGGAUCAGCA
rnacentral:rRNA from 1 species